UGCCAGCAGCCGCGGUAAUACGGAGGGGGUUAGCGUUGUUCGGAAUUACUGGGCGUAAAGCGCACGCAGGCGGCUUGUUAAGCGAGAUGUGAGAGCCCCGGGCUUAACCUGGGAACUGCAUUUCGAACUGACAAGCUAGAGUUUUGUAGAGGGUGGUAGAAUUUCAGGUGUAGCGGUGAAAUGCGUAGAGAUCUGAAGGAAUACCAGUGGCGAAGGCGGCCACCUGGACAAAAACUGACGCUCAUGUACGAAAGCGUGGGGAGCAAACAGGAUUAGAUA
rnacentral:rRNA from 1 species